rnacentral:tRNA from 1 species
CCAAGAAAGUUACUAUAACACUUAGGUCGUGACCCUAAAAAAAGAAUUUUUUUCUUCUUGGCU